CCUACGGGGAGCUGCAGUGAGGAAUAUUGGUCAAUGGCCGGAAGGCUGAACCAGCCAUGCCGCGUGAAGGUCAGUGCCCUAUGGGCGUUAAACUUCUUUUGUGCGGGAGCAAUAAUGGUCACGUGUGGCCAGACGAGAGUACCGUACGAAUAAGCAUCGGCUAACUCCGUGCCAGCAGCCGCGGUAAUACGGGGGAUGCAAGCGUUAUCCGGAUUUAUUGGGUUUAAAGGGUGCGUAGGCUGUGAGGUAAGUCAGCGGUGAAAUGCCCCCGCUCAACGGGGUGAAGUGCCAUUGAUACUGCCUGGCUGGAAUGCGGAUGCCGUGGGAGGAAUGUGUGGUGUAGCGGUGAAAUGCAUAGAUAUCACACAGAACACCGAUUGCGAAGGCAUCUCACGAAUCCGCGAUUGACGCUGAUGCACGAAAGCGUGGGUAUUAAACAGGAUUAGAUACCCCUGUAGUC
rnacentral:rRNA from 1 species